rnacentral:sRNA from 1 species
AGAAUGCUCAGAGAAUGUAAGUAAUUUGUUUUGGCUGCAGGUACAUAAAAUAUAGCAGUAGGAGAUGGGAAGGGAGAGGCAGAGGCCAACCAGGACAUCAGGAAUUUGCUGCACUGACAAAAGAAUUAAAUGCCUGCAGGGAACAACUUCUAGAAAAGGAAGAAGAAAUCUCUGAACUUAAAGCUGAAAGAAACAACACAAGACUAUUACUGGAGCAUUUGGAGUGCCUUGUGUCACGACAUGAAAGGUCACUAAGAAUGACGGUGGUAAAACGGCAAGCCCAGUCUCCCUCAGGAGUAUCCAGUGAAGUUGAAGUUCUCAAGGCACUGAAAUCUUUGUUUGAGCACCACAAGGCCUUGGAUGAAAAGGUAAGGGAGCGACUGAGGGUUUCUUUAGAAAGAGUCUCUGCACUGGAAGAAGAACUAGCUGCUGCUAAUCAGGAG